UACAUCGGGAGCACCGGAAAAGUGUAUCGCGCCAAUUGAAGGAAGUUACGGUAACCGCAAGCAGUUACAUGCGGUUCCGAUAGGCUAAAAGUGAUCCGGAAUAUGAGGAGAUAGUGACCGAUCGUGUAAGAACAAUAACUGACCGAGGGGACUAUCUAUAAAUAUGGUAAUAAUAUCCUAAAAAGAGGUCUUUGCCCCUGCGCACAAAAGACCACCCUUAUUUUCCUGCAUCUUUCUUUCUCGCAUUUACUGCUUUCCCUAUGAGUAGUUCCUGUAACUUAGCAUCCUGGAGUCUGUCUGCCCUUUGGGCAUCACUCCGCUGUAGACUAAAACCCUCUUUCCUGUACU
rnacentral:lncRNA from 1 species